rnacentral:tRNA from 1 species
GGGGGUGUAGCUCAGAUGGUAGAGCGCUCGCUUAGCAUGCGAGAGGUACUGGUAUCGAUACCCAGCACCUCCA